rnacentral:rRNA from 1 species
GGGUUGUGAGGUUAAGCGACUAAGCGUACACGGUGGAUGCCCUGGCAGUCAGAGGCGAUGAAGGACGUGCUAAUCUGCGAAAAGCGUCGGUAAGGUGAUAUGAACCGUUAUAACCGGCGAUGUCCGAAUGGGGAAACCCAGUGUGAUUCGUCACACUAUCGUUAACUGAAUACAUAGGUUAACGAGGCGAACCGGGGGAACUGAAACAUCUAAGUACCCCGAGGAAAAGAAAUCAACCGAGAUUCCCCCAGUAGCGGCGAGCGAACGGGGAGCAGCCCAGAGUCUGAAUCAGCUUGUGUGUUAGUGGAACGGUCUGGAAAGUCCGACGGUACAGGGUGAUAGUCCCGUACACCAAAAUGCACAGGUUGUGAACUCGAAGAGUAGGGCGGGACACGUGGUAUCCUGUCUGAAUAUGGGGGGACCAUCCUCCAAGGCUAAAUACUCCUGACUGACCGAUAGUGAACCAGUACCGUGAGGGAAAGGCGAAAAGAACCCCGGCGAGGGGAGUGAAAAAGAACCUGAAACCGUGUACGUACAAGCAGUGGGAGCACCUUCGGGUGUGACUGCGUACCUUUUGUAUAAUGGGUCAGCGACUUAUAUUCUGUAGCAAGGUUAACCGUAUAGGGGAGCCGCAGGGAAACCGAGUCUUAACUGGGCGUUAAGUUGCAGGGUAUAGACCCGAAACCCGGUGAUCUAGCCAUGGGCAGGUUGAAGGUUGGGUAACACUAACUGGAGGACCGAACCGACUAAUGUUGAAAAAUUAGCGGAUGACUUGUGGCUGGGGGUGAAAGGCCAAUCAAACCGGGAGAUAGCUGGUUCUCCCCGAAAGCUAUUUAGGUAGCGCCUCGUGAAUUCAUCUUCGGGGGUAGAGCACUGUUUCGGCUAGGGGGUCAUCCCGACUUACCAACCCGAUGCAAACUACGAAUACCGAAGAAUGUUAUCACGGGAGACACACGGCGGGUGCUAACGUCCGUCGUGAAGAGGGAAACAACCCAGACCGCCAGCUAAGGUCCCAAAGUCAUGGUUAAGUGGGAAACGAUGUGGGAAGGCACAGACAGCCAGGAUGUUGGCUUAGAAGCAGCCAUCAUUUAAAGAAAGCGUAAUAGCUCACUGGUCGAGUCGGCCUGCGCGGAAGAUGUAACGGGGCUAAACCAUGCACCGAAGCUGCGGCAGCGACACUAUGUGUUGUUGGGUAGGGGAGCGUUCUGUAAGCCUGCGAAGGUGUGCUGUGAGGCAUGCUGGAGGUAUCAGAAGUGCGAAUGCUGACAUAAGUAACGAUAAAGCGGGUGAAAAGCCCGCUCGCCGGAAGACCAAGGGUUCCUGUCCAACGUUAAUCGGGGCAGGGUGAGUCGACCCCUAAGGCGAGGCCGAAAGGCGUAGUCGAUGGGAAACAGGUUAAUAUUCCUGUACUUGGUGUUACUGCGAAGGGGGGACGGAGAAGGCUAUGUUAGCCGGGCGACGGUUGUCCCGGUUUAAGCAUGUAGGCUGGUUAUCCAGGCAAAUCCGGAUAAUCAAGGCUGAGGUGUGAUGACGAGGCACUACGGUGCUGAAGUAACAAAUGCCCUGCUUCCAGGAAAAGCCUCUAAGCAUCAGGUAACAUCAAAUCGUACCCCAAACCGACACAGGUGGUCAGGUAGAGAAUACCAAGGCGCUUGAGAGAACUCGGGUGAAGGAACUAGGCAAAAUGGUGCCGUAACUUCGGGAGAAGGCACGCUGGUGUGUAGGUGAAGUCCCUGCGGAUGGAGCUGAGACCAGUCGAAGAUACCAGCUGGCUGCAACUGUUUAUUAAAAACACAGCACUGUGCAAACACGAAAGUGGACGUAUACGGUGUGACGCCUGCCCGGUGCCGGAAGGUUAAUUGAUGGGGUUAUCCGUAAGGAGAAGCUCUUGAUCGAAGCCCCGGUAAACGGCGGCCGUAACUAUAACGGUCCUAAGGUAGCGAAAUUCCUUGUCGGGUAAGUUCCGACCUGCACGAAUGGCGUAAUGAUGGCCAGGCUGUCUCCACCCGAGACUCAGUGAAAUUGAACUCGCUGUGAAGAUGCAGUGUACCCGCGGCAAGACGGAAAGACCCCGUGAACCUUUACUAUAGCUUGACACUGAACAUUGAGCCUUGAUGUGUAGGAUAGGUGGGAGGCUUUGAAGCGUGGACGCCAGUCUGCGUGGAGCCAACCUUGAAAUACCACCCUUUAAUGUUUGAUGUUCUAACGUUGGCCCCUGACCGGGGUUGCGGACAGUGUCUGGUGGGUAGUUUGACUGGGGCGGUCUCCUCCCAAAGCGUAACGGAGGAGCACGAAGGUUAGCUAAUCCUGGUCGGACAUCAGGAGGUUAGUGCAAUGGCAUAAGCUAGCUUGACUGCGAGCGUGACGGCGCGAGCAGGUGCGAAAGCAGGUCAUAGUGAUCCGGUGGUUCUGAAUGGAAGGGCCAUCGCUCAACGGAUAAAAGGUACUCCGGGGAUAACAGGCUGAUACCGCCCAAGAGUUCAUAUCGACGGCGGUGUUUGGCACCUCGAUGUCGGCUCAUCACAUCCUGGGGCUGAAGUAGGUCCCAAGGGUAUGGCUGUUCGCCAUUUAAAGUGGUACGCGAGCUGGGUUUAGAACGUCGUGAGACAGUUCGGUCCCUAUCUGCCGUGGGCGCUGGAGAAUUGAGGGGGGCUGCUCCUAGUACGAGAGGACCGGAGUGGACGCAUCACUGGUGUUCGGGUUGUCAUGCCAAUGGCACUGCCCGGUAGCUAAAUGCGGAAGAGAUAAGUGCUGAAAGCAUCUAAGCACGAAACUUGCCCCGAGAUGAGUUCUCCCUGAGACUUUAAGUCUCCUGAAGGAACGUUGAAGACGACGACGUUGAUAGGCCGGGUGUGUAAGCGCAGCGAUGCGUUGAGCUAACCGGUACUAAUGAACCGUGAGGCUUAACCUUACAACGCCGAAG